rnacentral:lncRNA from 1 species
GAUUCACACACGCACAAAACGAUCUCAACCAAAAAGAUUGAGUAGGGAUCUAAAUUAAGAUCUAAAGCUAACUCACAAUUGACCAGGUUAAUCUGGGACCUGGACCAGCCAGUGUUUCCUGAAUCAUUAUAAUGAGCUGAGGCUCUCUAUCUUCCACAUCUGGGACAUUGUAAGUUGGAAUUGGAUCAACUUUCACAUUAAGAGGAA